GUUGGCUAGGCUGGUCUCAAACUCCUGACCUUAAGUGAUCUGCCCGCCUCGGCCUUCCAAAGUGCUGGGAUUACAGGCAUAAGCCACCGUGCCCGGCCCCAAGCUGCUUUUAGAAUGGCUUUUACUUUCUUAUAUGUAAUAGCGAAGAAUUUAAAAAUGUAAAGACAAGCCAGAUGUCAUGUUUGAAGAGGGAAAUUAAUCCCAUAAAGAGCAGCACAUCCAUGUGAUGGGGUAUUAGGAGGCCCUCAAUAGCCAAGGGUUAGCCUUUUUGAUGACAUAGAAAAAUAUGAGAUAUGAUAUUGAGUGAAAAGGGAGGUUAUAAAAUAUCAUGUGUAGUGCAAUCACAAGUGUAUGCACACACGCGGUGGAGAGAGACUGGGUGGACAGCACUAACCCAUUACCAGGGCUGUCUCCUGACUUUUAUCCUUUGGGUAUUUUUUGUGGUUUCCAAAUUUUUCAAUGCACAUUUAUUAUCUUAGGAGCAGGAAAAAACUUAUUUUUGCCAAUGAAAUAAAAAUAAAUUUGGGCCAGGCAUGGUAGCUCACUUCUGUAAUUACAGCACUUUGGGAGUCUGAGGUGGGUGGGUUGCUUGAGCCCAGGAGUUCGAGACCAGUCUAGGCAACAUGUCAAGACCUCAUCUCUACAAAAAAUUAAAACAUGAGCUGGGUAUGGUGGCAUAUGCCUGUAGUCCCAGCUACUCAGGAGGCUGAGGUGGGAGGAUUACUCGAGUCUGGGAGGUCAAUGCUGCAGUGAGCCGUGAUGACACCACUGCACUCCAGCCUGGAUGACAGAGUGAGACCCUGUCUCAACAACAAAACAAACAAGUGUGUUGGUGAAUAUUUGAAGAUAGUUUCUCAAACUAAAAGAUACCCAAAGAAAACCUUGGAAAUAUAAAAAGAAUGCAUGAAUUGAAAACAAAAAGCCAUAAUACAAGACUCUAAAGAUCUGGAAUGAAACCUAAUAAGAGACUGGUAGGUCAAAUGAGAGCAAAGCAUUUGAAUUUGACUGGAUUGUUUUCUCACUGGAAAUAGUGAUUCUAUGAGUUCACCAUUAACACAUUUUUUGACUGGAAAACUGCUAUAGGAUCCCAGGGAGGACUAAAUUUGAACAGAGGAAGUGGACAGUGUUGCAGUCUCUGUUCUAGCUCUUGCUUCUAGAAUAGGAGAGUUAAGAGCACCAAUUUGGGAUGAAGAAAGCAGAAAGCAAUUAUCGAUAUCAAUCAAGAGAGCAGAACAGCCUCUCUCCCUCCAUCCUCCCUCUGCCCUCUUCUCCCUUCCUCCUUCUCUGCUUUCCUUUCACUCUGUGUAUGUUAGCUUUGGCCCCAUUCCAUAAGCCGAGAUAAAAAUGCUAGGCAUGAUAAAUUUGUGACUGUUACUAACAUUUAGGAUUUUUUUUUUGAGAUGGAGUUUCACUCAUGUUGCCCAGGCUGGGUGCCAUGGCGCGAUCUCAGCUCACUGCAACCUCUGCCUUCCGGGUUCAAGCAAUUCUCCUGCCACAGCCUCGCAAGUAACUGGGACUACAGGCGCAUGCCACCAUGCCUGGCUAAUUUCUUUUGUAUUUUUAGCAGAGACAAGGUUUCACCGUGUUGGCCAGGAUGGUCUCGAUCUCCUGACCUUGCGAUCUGCCCACCUCAGUCUCCCAAAGCACUGGGAUUACAGGCGUGAGCCACCACACCUAGCACAUUUAGGACCGUUAUAUGGAAUUCUUCAUAUCUUCUAAGUUUUAAAAAAACAAAAUCUACCAAAUAUUAGAGAUUUAGUAGUUAAAUAAAAUCAUUAGGAAAGAGCAAAGACUUGCCCAGUUUUAGGUGGAGUAAAUUCUGGAACUUUUAAUACAAAGAUAGGCUGGGAAACUGCAAAGAUAACUUUGCGGUUCUUCUUGUAUGCAAAUCUGUGAUCAUGGAUGGAGAAGCCUGGAGGAGAAUCGGAAGGCAAGGUCAAACUUUAUGGGUUGUGAUCCAUUUGGUUCUUUCAGUAAGAAUCCACAAUUGAUAAAAUACUAGAGUUUGUGUUUCUUAGCUGAGAAUGCAGGCGCGAGGAAGUAAAAUGAUUUCUUCUCGUCAGUAGUAGAGCCACCUAACCCCAGUCUUCGGCCUCAAGCUCUUUCUGUGCUUUAUUAAAUCAGCUGCUUUUUAACAGAAAACCGACUUUGCACACCAGACUAUAAUGCAGGUCUUGCUUUGGGAAUAUUUACAUGGUAAUCUUAUAGUCACAUUAUACACUAAAUAAAUGUUAGCUGGGCCAUUUGUGUAGAAAUAUAACUUGUGCAAAAUAAA
rnacentral:lncRNA from 1 species